UACGUAGGGACCAAGCGUUGUUCGGAUUUACUGGGCGUAAAGGGCGCGUAGGCGGCAUGACAAGUCACUUGUGAAAUCUCCGGGCUUAACUCGGAACGGUCAAGUGAUACUGUCGCGCUAGAGUGCGGAAGGGGCAAUCAGAAUUCUUGGUGUAGCGGUGAAAUGCGUAGAUAUCAAGAGGAAUACCUGAGGUGAAGACGGGUUGCUAGGCCGACACUGACGCUGAAGCGACGGAAAGCCCAGGGGAGCAAACGGG
rnacentral:rRNA from 1 species